GUGGCAGAUGCGUCCAAACAGGGGCUGGCAGGCUUCGAGGGACUGACUCAUCCAUGACUCAGAGGGCAGCCUGUGUGGCCCUUGGCCUGGGUACCAGUCUCUGAAAUGGGGAGGUGGUGCCUUGGCCCUCCCAAGAGAACUUAAAGGUUAAAAUAUAUGGCUCUGGAGUUCCUGUCGUGGCGCAGUGGUUAACGAGUCUGACUAGGAACCAUGAGGUUGCAGGUUCGAUCCCUGGGUUAAGGAUCCGGCAUUGCUCUGCGCUGUGGUGUAGGCUGCAGAUGCAACUCAGAUCCACGUUGCUGUGGCUCUGGCGUAGGCGGGCGGCUACAGUUCUGAUGAGACCCCUAGCCUGGGAACCUCCAUAUGCCUCAGGAGCAGCCCUAGAAAAGGCAAAAAAAAAAAAAAAAAAAAAAAAAGGACUUGGUGCGAAGCUUCACGUUUACCCUUUGGGCUUCAGUACCAGUGUGUGACUUGGAAAAGACCAACGUGCUGCUGGUUUUACAUGCGGGAGAAACUGCCCAACAGAACAAUGGGCUGGAAAGAAAAAAAGCUGUAGAUGUUCUAACAUCACUUGUUUUAGGGCCCAUCUUUUCUUUGUUUUUCUUGAAAGGCCACCUCUCUCAUUUUCUACAUCUCCAUAUAACUUGUGUCUAUUCUUGGACUUUGAAUAUUUCUGUUUGGUAGCAAGCUGUUCAAAUUAUUAUGAAUUUAUAGAAUAUUUUACUAUCUGAUAGGGUAGAUGCUUUCAGGUUAUUCUUUUUUUUCUCUCUCUCUCUAAAAAUACUUUUCUUAGCUAUUCUCUACAAAGUUAUUUGGCCAGAUGAACUUAUUUUUUUUUCUUUUUUCUUUUUAGGGCCACAUCUGUGGCAUAGGGAAGUUCCAGGGAUAGGGGUUGAAUCGGAGCUGCAGCUGCCAGCCUCCACCUUAGUCACAGCAGUGCCAAACCCGAGCCGAAUCUUCGACCUACACUGCACCUUGUGGCAACAUCAGAUCCUUAACCCACUGCACAAAGCCAGGGAUCAAACCCACAUCCUCAUGGAUAUUAGCUGGGUUCUUAACCCUCUGAGCCACAACAGGAACUCUUCCAGCAAAUUUUCAGUUGACUGCCUUUGACUUUCUAGAUUGACAUCAUAUUAUCCAUUAAAGUAGGAGUAAUAGUGUUUCCUCAUUUCUUGAUUUUGCAUUAGGGUUCAUGAAAUGAAUUGAUAAGCUUUCCCUCUUUUUCUGUACUCAGGACCUCUGGGUGACAUAAGGAUUUGCUGCUCUUUGCAAGUCUUGUGAUGAUUAGCCGUAGAAUCAAGUGGAUUGGAAGUGAUUUUUAUAUUACUUGAUAACUUUCUGCAGUUACGGAGUUUAAGAAAGGGGGCAGGGAUGGGAUGGCAGCUGGAGAGCGAUGAAAGAUUGGGGGUGGGGUGCAAAGCGGGUCCUGAUCUAGAGGGAGAAGUUGGACAAUUUGGAAAGAGACUCGCUGGUAAAAUAAUCUUGCUAAGGAGCCUUUGGAAGGGUGGCUGUAAUACACCCUUAGAGAAUGUCAUUAUUUCACGGGGAGGAGAAAAUCCACAAGGGUUGCGUUAUUCUCAGCUCUUUACAACCAACUUGUGAUGACUCUUAGGGUCUUUUCCCUAGAAAACAAGGAAGCAGAUUAGGGUUUUAAAGUGAAAACCCAACCUCCCUCUGUUGGUAAGAACUUGGCUUUCAGAAGUCUUGUGAUGACUGCUCACGUUUGGAUACUGUGGUCCCCUGAGGAGAUGAAAGGUGGAGAAGGGCUUCUAACCCAGGCUCUGGCUGGGGCCAGCGGUCAGCAGGAUUUAGGUGAUGACCUCUGCUCUUAUUCUGCUUCCAAGUCCCAGCUCUCCUGAGGCUGUUCACCCCUGCUCAGGGGCUGUCUGCACAGGUCCUGGGUUCUCCUGGGAGCGCGUGCUGUGAUUUCAUCAGAUUCCUCUUGUGCUGGUGCAAGAAUGUUUUUAGCUAAUGUGCACUCACUUCUGGGGCAUAAUCCUUACUGGUAAGUCUUGGAAGAAAGCUAUUUUUCCAUAAGGAUGGACAUUAGAUUUUGGAUUCUGCUGUUUAUCAUCAAUGUUUUUGCUCAUUUGCCCUCAUUUCUGGGACAUAAUGCUCAUUGGCAGGUCUUGGAAGGAAGCUAUUUUUCUAUAAGAAUGGACGUUAGAUUUUGGAUUCUGCCGUUCACCAUAAAUAUUUUUGCUAAGUGUGGCCCUUAGCUUAUAGCUCAACCAUGGAGAUUGAUGCUAUGGCUCCAAAUAAUGAAAUCAGUCCUUUCAGUUUACUGAGUUUCCUUUGUUUAGAUUGAGUUUCCUGUGUUUAGAUUUAGAUCUGUCUCUUGUUAGAAGUCCUGAGAAAUAAUAAGUAAAGACCUCUCUGGCAUGUUCAUGCUGUCUCAUAGACUGCCAUAAGAUUUAAAAUUUGAGAAUGCAUUCGUGGUUUUGGUAAAAUGAGUUUCCAUGAGGGUCUUUGUCUUUCCUGACUGAUGCUAUUUCUCUUGAUCAUGUAUGGCUAAGAGUUUUCAUGACGUGCCAAACAUUUGGUAUCCAUAGGAUAGAUACCUUCUGCCAAUAUUUAACCCCUUGGCCGUGGGCUAAAAAUUCUGAUGUGAAAAAAAAUGCACAUUCCUAAAUACUUCCCUUUGUUAAUUAAGUUAGCUGAUUAAAGGUGCUACUUAAUUGUUCUGUCAACUUCUUUGUUGUUAAAAGGUGAAAUACAUAUGUAUGUCUGUAGGUGUCAGGUAUAAAUUAGAAUUAGUCAAGUCAAAUCUAACUGUGUCUUUGUAAAUGAUUCUGUCACUGUUGCUGAUAUUUAUUUUUUGUUUUUCUUUUUUCUUUUUUGCUUUUCUAAUAUUUUAAAUAAUUUACUUCCUGUAUUAUAGUUUAUCUCUCUUCUCUUUCUGUCUUUUUUAGGCCCACACCCAAGACAUGGAAGUUCCCAGGCUAAGGGUCUAAUCAGAGCUGUAGCUGUGGGCCUACAGCACAGCCACAGCAACACCAGAUCCAAGCUGCAUCUGUGACUUAUGCAGCAGCUUGCAGUAACAGUGGAUCCUUAACCCACUGAGUGGGGCCAGGGAUCGAACCCUGGCCUCGUGGAACUCGCAUCCUGAUGGAUGCUGUGUUGGGUUCUUAACCCACUGAGCCACAGCAGGAACUCCUAUCUCAAUUUUUAAAAAUUAGUUGUCUUGGAGUUCCCGUCGUGGCGCAGUGGUUAACGAAUCUGACUAGGAACCAUGAGGUUGCGGGUUCGGUCCCUGCCCUUGCUCAGUGGGUUAACGAUCCGGCGUUGCCGUGAGCUGUGGUGUGGGUUGCAGACGCGGCUCGGAUCCUGCGUUGCUGUGUCUCUGGCGUAGGCUGGUGGCUACAGCUCCAAUUUGACCCCUAGCCUGGGAACCUCCAUAUGCCACGGGAGUGGCCCAAAGAAAUAGCAAAAAGACAAAAAAAAAAAAAAAAAAAAAAAAUUAGUUGUCUUAAGAGUUCCUGCUUUGGCACAGUGGGAUCAGUGGCAUCUUGGGAGUACUGGGACAUGGGUUCUAUCCUGAGUCUGAACACUGGGUUAAGGAUCUGGAGUCGAGACUGCAGCUUGGAUCUGAUCCCUGGCCGGGGAGCUCCAUAUGCCUUGGGGUGGCCAAAAAUGAAAAACAAAAAUUGUCUCAAAUUACAAAAGAGUUUUUUUCUUUUUCGACUGCAACCAAAGCAUAUGGAGGUUCCCAGACCAGGGAUGGAAUCCAAGCCAGAGCUGCAACCUAUGCCACAGCUGCGGCAGCGCUGCAUCCUUAACCCACUGUGCUGGGCCGGCGACCGAACCCACGUCCCCACCACUGCAGAGACCAUUGAUUCUGCCGUGCCACAGUGGGAACUUCUUGUUUGUUUUUUUCAAAUGAAGAGGUGAUUCAUCUGGAUGUGAUUGUGACUUUCUGGCUUUUGAAACUAAACAAACUGUGGAGAGUUUAUUUCAGUAAAACGAGAUGUAUCGGAUUUCUGUGUCAUAGACCUAAAAAUUUAAAACAGUGUUUAUUUAUUUGAAUUACAUACUUUUCUUACUUUUGGAAAGAACUGAGAGAAGGAAAAUUCCUAGGAACAAAUAUCGUGUCGUAUAUUUAAUUUGAGGGAUCUAUGAAAAGUUAUUUCAGUUUGUAUUUUGAAGGCGUGUUGAGGGAGACCAGAGUCUAUAUUAAUUGAAGUAGAAAGUUCUCUGCUCCUGUGAAUAGUGGGGAAAGCAGAAGAGCCUCUCAAAUAUAGAAUGUGCUUUAUAGACUAUAGAAUAUACUUGAUAGCACACAGAAGAUCCGGGAGGGAAAACAGGUUUGGUUCAGCGAGGUUCUGCUAAUGUGAGAAAGGCAAUUACGUGUGGUAGAACCAUCUAAGCCAUUUUGCCAAAAUGUUUUCCUCCCUGUUCCUGGGUCUUCUCCUUGUACACCUGUGUCUUUAGCCAGGGGGCACCUGCUUUUCUGUGAACAGGGAUCAAAGCUCGGAAAGAUCACAGGUGGUCCUGUCUCCUCAGUGGGUUUCCCUUUGAAAAAUGCAGAUGUUGAUAGUAAUUUAUGUUCUGUGUGGCAUUAAUGAUUACAUCUCUGUUUACACACAAAUAAGAUGAAAUGGAGAAUUGAGGCAUCUGCCAGAAGAAUUGAGGGGGAAUCUUUCGAGAAUGACUAGAAUUUUCCUUCUUCAUCUCUGCACUCUGUGCCUCUUUGGCAUGCAGGAGGUUUUUGGUUUUUGGUUUUUAAUUUGUAUCAUUUGUAGACUUAAGGAAUUUUUGGCCCAUAAAAGAAUCAUUUUGGAAUUCCAGCAUGGCUCAGCAUUUAACGAACCCAACUAGCAUCCAUGAGGACGCAGGUUCAAUCCCUGGCCUUGCUCAGUGGGUUAAGGAUCCGGCGUUGCCGUGAGCUGUGGUGUAGGUGGCAGAUGCGGCUUGGAUCUGGUGUGGCUGUGGCUGUGGUGUAGGCCGGCAGCUGUAGCCCCGAUUUGACCCCUAGCCUGGGAACUUCCAUAUGCCGAAAGUUCGGCCCUAAAAAGACAGAAAAGGGGGUGGUGGGACUUACUGAUGUUGAAAUAUUCUACCCUCGUUUAUUUGUUUGUUUGUUUUUAAAAAAGUGAGUUGAUCUUAAGGCCCUUGUUAGCCCUAAAAUUCUUGCGUUCGGAAAUCUAAAAUUUUUAGGUGUUAGGUUCAGGCCUUUGUUCUGAGAGAUUUGCCUUCAUCCGUAACCAAGACUCUUUCCAUUCCUCUUGACCUAAUUGUCUUCUGCAGUUUUCCUGUCCUGUUUUUCGGGAACCGUCUUCCAAGCUGCCCUGGCUGUUCAGUGUAGUGUACCGGGAGAGGCAUCAUCUUUGAAAUUAGAUGGGAUUCAGAUCUUUUCUCCACGGACUAUUUGUUGUGAAUAUACCCUCGGUAAAUUUGCUGAGCCUCAGUUUUCUCAUCUGGGAGGACCCGGUCUGGCCUGGCCUGCCCUCCCUCUCUUGACCCUGAGAUGGGAAGUUCGAGGUUAAAGAUUUAGGCUUUUUGUUCUUAAUUCUGCCUACAUUUGAGUAGAUGGCAAAAAGGAAGAGACAGAAGGUCACGAAAUUCAUUCUUCAAAUUUCAUCACGAGCCCUCAGUGGUGGGAAGAGCUUGGCCAUGCUUAGAAUAAACUGGGUCCUAAGCAAAUUGCAUGUCACCGUCUUUCCUUUCCCCUUAGCCAAAUAACUCUGCAGGUAUCUUAUUUCUUUUUUGGCCAUGCCUGCAGCCUGUGGAAAUUCCCUGGCCAGGGAUCAACCCCGUGCCACAGCUGUAGCCAGAGCCACAACAGUGACAAUACUGGGUCUUUAACCUGCUGUGCCACCAGGGAACUCCUCCAAUUAUUUUUUUUCCAAUGAUUACAACUUUAAAGUUUCUCUUGGAGUUCCUGUUGUGGCUCAGUGAGUUAACCCAACAUAGGUGUUCCUGUGGUGGCUUAGCUGUUAAUGAACUGGACUAGCAUCCAUGAGGACAUGGGUUCAAUCUCUGGCCUUGCUCAAAGGGUUAAGGAACCGGUGUUGCUGUGAGCUGGGGUGUAGGUCACAGAUGUGGCUCAGAUCCCAUGUUGCCGUGGCUGUGGCAUAGGCUGGCAGCUACAGCUUCGAUUAGACCUCUAUCUAGCCUGGGAACCUCCAUAUGCC
rnacentral:lncRNA from 1 species